rnacentral:rRNA from 1 species
CCCGCGGUUAGACGGAAAGACCCCGUGCACCUUUACUGCAGCUUCAGAGUGGCAUUGGAAAAUUAUUGUGUAGCAUAGGUGGGAGGCUUUGAAGCACCGGCGCCAGCUGGUGUGGAGCCAUAGGUGAAAUACCACCCUGUGAUUUUUUAAUGUCUAACCUCGUACCGUUAGCCGGUACAGGGACCCUCUGUGGCGGGUAGUUUGACUGGGGCGGUCGCCUCCUAAAGAGUAACGGAGGCGCGCGAUGGUAGGCUCAGGCCGGUUGGAAACCGGCUGCAAGAGUGCAAUGGCAUAAGCCUGCCUGACUGCGAGACUGACAAGUCGAGCAGAGACGAAAGUCGGUCAUAGUGAUCCGGUGGUCCCGCGUGGAAGGGCCAUCGCUCAACGGAUAAAAGGUACGCCGGGG